AUGCACUCAACUUGCCUGGCUCUGCUGCCUCCAAGCUCUGCCUUCUGCAACAUGUGCUCUUCCUUCCAAGCGCACUUCAGGUGUGAUAUAAAAGAGGAAUUUUGCGAUUACUAAAAAGAGGAACAUGCUAUCUUGGAGAAAACAGACUGUAACUGGAAGAAAGCCAUAGGUGUGGCUGUGGUGCUGGUGUGGUUGCUGUUUUCGCACCCGAUGGCAGGGCUGAUGAAGCCACAAGGCCAGCAGAGAUGAGGCCCUUCCCAGCAAGAUCUUGAAAAGGAUUCCUGAAUCUGCAGUCCUGUAGUAUAUUGCAUGUGCACUUGCUUCCAGUCUGAUUUUAUGUUAAAUACUGUAUAGAACUUAAAAAACCCCCACUAUCAGGUACCUUAUAUUAUAGCAUUUCUGAUUAAAACUGAAGCAAUGGUUCAAUUGUGCUACUGUUUCAUUGCAUUUAAAAAAAAUGUAUUUCCUUGGUGACUGUCUAUCUUAUGAGUAGAUGCUUUCAUAUAUUGUGUCCAUACUUCACAGUCCUACUGUUUUUCAUUGCUUGCUACAUACCCUUCUUGGCUGCUGCUCACAAAUGAUGUUUGCAAGAGGAAAUGGAUGGUAAAGUACUGAUGCUAAAAAAAACACUUAGCACCUCAAAGCUGUUCCUAUGGCAACCAAGCCCUACAGAAGUUUUUGAGCAUAUAUAAAACUUCAUGCAGUUUUCAAGCAUGGUAUUUUUGCAAAUGCUGGUUUCUGUUAAACUUCCUAGACAUCCAUGAACAUGUAUUUUUAGGAACAUACUUCUUUUGACAUCAUGACUAAUUCAUUGCUUGAUUAUGCUUUUGGGAUGUCAACUGCCACAGCACAUUACUACUAGAUUUACAAAAUCAUGUUCAUAUUAAAAAAGAGGAUUUUUUAGUCAUACAUAUUCAAGUAUGGUAUCUUGAAUAACUUAAGUUUUUAAAUUAAAUGUAAGCACCUAAGAUUAAAAACCUCCUUUAUU